rnacentral:rRNA from 1 species
GGUUGAUUCUACCAGUAAUCAUAUGCUUGUCUCAAAGAUUAAGCCAUGCUUAUGUAAGUAUGAACUAAUUCAGAUUGCAAAACUAUGAAUGGAUCAUUAAAUCAAUUAUAGUUUGUUUGAUGGUAUCUACUACUUGGAUAACCAUAGUAAUUCUAGAGCUAAUACAUGCAACAGACCCUAACUUAUGGAAGCGAUGCAUUUAUUAGAUAAACAAUCAACAUGGGCUUUGCUUAUUGCUCUAAUGAUUCAUGAUAACUUGAUGGAUCGCAUGUCCUUUGUGCCAGCAAUGCAUCAUUCAAAUUUCUACUUUAUCAAAUUUUAAUGGUAGGAUAAUGGCCUAUGAUGGUGAUGACAAGUGAAGGAGAAUUAGGGUUCAAUUCUAAAAAGGAGCAUGAAAAAUGGCUACCACAUCCAAGGAAUGCAAUAGGUGUGCAAAUUACCUAAUCUUGACACAAGUAGGUAGAGGCAAUAAAUAACAAUACCAAACUUUAUGAGUUUGGUAAUUAGAAUGAGUACAAUCUAAAUCCCUUAAUAAAAACCCAUUGAAAGGCAAGUCUGGUGCUAGCAACCAUGCUAAUUCUAGCUCUAAUAGUGUAUAUUUAAGUUGUUACAGUUAAAAAGCUCAUAGUUGGAACUAGGGUUGGAUCUUUUGAUCUACUUCAUAGUGAGCAUCAAUAUACUUAUCCUUAUUGCCAACGCUACACUCUAGCCUUAACUACCUGGGUUGUUCCUUUAACACUAUUACUUUGAUGAAAUUAAAGUGCUCAAAGUAGGUCUAUGCUUUUAUACAUUAGCAUGGGAUAACAUUAAAAGAUUUUGAUCCUAUUAUGUUGGCCUUUAGGAUCAAAGUAAUGAUUAACACAGACAGUCAUGGUCAUUCGUAUUUCAUAGUCAAAGGUGAAAUUCUUAGAUUUAUGAAAGACAAACAACUACAAAGCAUUUGCCUAAGAUGUUUUCAUUAAUCAAGAAUGAAAGUGGGGGACUUGAAGAUGAUCAGAUACAAUCUUAGUCUCAACCAUAAAUGAUGCCAACCAAGGAUCGAUAGAUGUUACUUUUAGGACUUCAUCAGCACCUUUUGAGAAAUCAAAGUCUUUAGGUUCUAGGGAAGUAUGGUCGCAAGGCUAAAACUUAAAGGAAUUGACAAAAGAAAACUACCAGGAGUGAAGCCUAUGGCUUAAUUUGACCAACAUAGGGAAACUUAUCGGGUCUAGAUAUAGUAAGGAUUGAUAAAUUAAGAGCUCUUUCUUGAUUCUAUAGGUGGUGUAGCAUGGCUAUUCUUAGUUGGUGAAAUGAUUUUUCUUAGUUAAUUUCAUUAAAAAAUGAGACUUUAGCAUGCUAACUAGCUAUAUUAGAGAGACUACGACUACCCUCUUAGAUAGACUACGAUUACUUAGGUUAAGAAAGUUUAAGGCAAUAACAGGUCUAUGAUGCCUUUAGAUGUUUUAGGCUGUACACGCACUACACUAAUGUUUUCAAUGAGUCUAUAGCCUUGGUCGAUAGGCCUAGGUAAUCUUUGAAAUAACAUCAUGAUAGGGAUAGAUCAUUGUAAUUGUUGGUUUUCAAUAAGGAAUUCCUAGUAAGCAUGAGUCAUCAACUCAUGUUGACUACAUCCCUACCCUUUAUACACAUUGCUCAUCAUUCCUACGGAUUGAAUAGUCUGGUGAGGUAUUUAGAUCAUAGCAAUAUAGGUGGUUUGCUGCAUGUGAUGUCAUGAGAAGUCCAUUAAACCUUAUCAUUUAGAGGAAAGAGAAGUAGUAACAAGUUUUCAUAGGUGAACCUGAGGAAA